rnacentral:lncRNA from 1 species
AAACACCCCAUAAGCUCUCAGGAAGCGGCGGGGGUGGGGGAGCGGCCAGAGAGAGGGGCUGCCUCUCCGCGGCUUCCAUCACCGCCCUGGAAAUAGCAGCCGAACGCGCACGGCCCGGCCAGGCUUCCCUCAAACUGCUAAGAUUUCAUUUCACCUCCGACAGGCUGCUUGGGGACUCGCUGUUAAAAGCAUGGCAUGCCAAGCAGUGCCACAUCCGCACCCGGGAUCUGAACCGGUGAACCCCAGGCUGCCGAAGCAGAACGUGCGCACUUAACCGCUGCCCCACUGGGCUGGCCCCCGGAAGUCUCUUCUUUUUCAAUGUUGCAGAAGAGAAAGUCAGAAAGACAGAAUCCAGCUUCUCCAGAACAAAGCAAGCACCAUGUUGUGAAUGGCUUGUGGGGGCACAUGGCAAGGAACCGUCAGUAGCCUCUGGGAAUGGAGAACAGGCCCCGGCUGACAGCUUUCAAGAAAAUGGGCAUCUCUGUCCUACAACCUCAAGGACACGAAUUCUGCCAACAGCCAGUGAUCUUGGAAGAGGACCCAGAGAGGCACUGCAGCCCCAGCUGGUAUCUUGGUUUGAGCCCAGUGAGACCCUGAGCAGAGAAUCCAGCUCUGCCCGCCCCAGAUGUCCGACCUACAGCAACUGCGAGAUAAUAAAUUUGUGUCUUUUUAGGAUGCUAAUUUUGUGGUGAUUUUUAAUGUAGCAAUACAAAACCAAUACCCUAAGCAAGACUGAGGAUUUAAAAGCUUAUGAUAAAGAGAGGGCAAAAUAGAGGAAAAGAGGGUGACUGGAGAAAAACGGAAAGGAAAAGAGGGAAGGGAGAGAAAGAGGGGAGAGAGAUGACAAAAAAAUGCACCC